UCUGCUUGUUAUCAGCUAGCUGGUGAAGGAUUUUGUGUAUCGGUAUUUCUUUUGCAAGUGUUCGACGAAAACAGAGUUUGCUGUUUCAUUGGAUUGACAGAGCAUAGUUGCAACAUGCCACGGAAAAAGUACUGGAGAAAAACAAGAUUCCAUAAGGAGACAAAAGGGGAUGGAAACGUGUCAAAAAAUAAUGACAGUGGCGAGUCUGGGACUGUUGUUUUUACAGAGAUAAGUACAGUUUCUGGACAUUUUCAUCAAGGACAUCCACAAUUUAUGCCAAACAGUGGGGCACAGUGUGUGGCUAAUAGUUGCUCAGCUAUUCUGUAUGAUAAAGUAAAGCCAGUUUCUAUGUGGACUAGUAAUGAUCUUGAUGCUGUAUUGAUUUCUGGUGAUGAAUUGUACUCUAAUGUUAAACCUAAUCUUCCUGCUGGUGAGACCUUUUUGCUCAUUUCAGACAUUCCAGAUGUGAUGGACAUGCACAAUGGUACAUUCGGUAUAAGGGCAGGUGAAUCUUUGACAGGUUAUGUACUUGGUACUGUUCAUGCAGAUCUGCAAUCUGAUAUUUUCAUGCCACUGAGAGAUGCUCUUGAGAGAACACUAUCUGUGUUUACUUCUUGCCUUAUAACCUUCCACUCUUCUACAUUUGCUAUCAUUAAACGCGAUCAGUACUUAUAUGUUGUUGAUUCUCAUUCCAGGAAUGUAGAAGGUGUACAAGUUGUUGAUGGGACUGCUGUAAGCAUCAGAUACACAGGUCUAGAAGGUGUGUUUCAACACUGUACUCGUCUGGCUAUUUCACUCAACACUGCAGCUUGUGAAAGAACCAACCACGGAAAACGGGACACUGAUUGAUCAUGUUUAUGUCAGACAUGUCCAUUUGAAAACAGUCAAAGUCAUUCCGACUUAUUUUAGCUACCACGAUGCCAUUAUGUCCACAUUAUAAGAAAAACAGGAGCUUUGGUCUUGGAAAUCUUAGUAACUGUUGGCACUGGAGCUUGUGGGAGAAAAAAAACUUCUGAUAACUGCAACUGCAACUUCCUGUGAAGUGAAAUCCCAGAAAUUCAAUGCUUAUCGAUGCAGCUCAAAUUGUAUCCCAGUUGUCUUCUAGUUAAUAGCCAACCUAUUUAAAACGUUGGAUAGAAAAAACAGGCACUUCAGUGAUCAAUUUCUGAGGAUCUUGGUGGCGAGAUGGACGACUAUGGCAGAAACGUGCUGUUAGGACAUCAUUUGUUGGAGACCUCCGGCAGUCCACCGCAGUAUAAUAUAAGUGCUCUCCUCCUCUCACCAAUACCACUCCGCGUUUAUCUUCGGAUAGACACUGGCGGCUCAGGACCUUAUGGAAUGGACCAGUAUAUCCCGCAAAAAUGGAACAAAAUGGCAGCAAAGAACUCAAAAGUCAUAUAUGCCAUCUUAAGUCAGUAUCACUAUGGAUGAUGGAGAGCAACAUAUCCAUCUAAACAAAUGUUGCCCCUAGAACACUAAUACUGCGAAGAACUUGCGCAUGUGGUUUCUUUUUAUGACAACUUGACAAGUCUGUCUUAUAUAGUUAAAUCUGCUGAGAAGGAUGAUAAGAUGUUAGGUGUGCUAAGGGGCAUGAUUCUUAUGGCAAAUCAAGAAAAUUGCCAAAUCACAGAAGCUAUCGGCUGGCUGGAAAGUUGAAGAUAAAACAUCUAGAUUGAAUUAAAUGAUGACCUUUAACAGCAACAUGUAACAAGCCCUGUAUGAUGGUAACAUUUAUUGGUGGUAACAUCUGAAUGACCUGUCUUGUAGAUACUUCAGUAACUGUACCGUAACACCAUCAUGUGAAACUGAAACUGUAAUUCAACAUUGAGGUGAUAUAUAUUCGCCUUACAUACCUCAAAUCGCUGUGAGUUCAACUCCACCGCAUGCUAUCUUCCUCUCUGGCUGUAAGUGGAAAGGUCUCAGCAACCUGCAGAAGGUCGUGGGUUUCCCUAGAGCCCGGUUUCAUCCCACCAUAAUGCUGGCUGCUGUCGUAUAAGUGAAAUAUUCUUAGCAGGGCGUAAACACCAAUCAAAUAAGUAAAUAAAGACAUACCCCAAUGUAUGGACAUCUCUGAUUUUUGUAAAUACAAUUACAGGGCUGGAAAAAUGUGGAUUUUUUUUAGUCGCUCUGGCAGGCAACCAAGACGUUCAACUGUGGUUGGCCCCUUUCACCUUGGUUGCCGCCCACUUUUUAUGUCAUUUUGGUAUGUGAUCAUUUAAAGUACAAUACAAUAAAAUACAAUGACAUAAAUAAUAUCUGAUAAAAGUGAUUUUCUGAUUGGUGCUGAAAUCAUUAAUACUGAGAAAUGGUUAAAUACGUUUUGAUCCAUCAGUUAUGUUGCCUUUGAAUACCCUUUUGAAAAGUAUGGAACGGAAUUUUUAGGCAGCCAUAUGCAUUUUCAUUGAUGUACGGUUCGGAUGACAGACCAAUUACAUUUUUGUGAACAGAAUUUUUUGGACAUGUAUUUUUUGACCAAAUUCAAAGCACGGUCGAUUCAUGAAUGAAAUGUACACUUCAUCCAAAUAUAGCGGUAAGCCAACCUAUUUCCUGGAUGAUACAGAAGACGGCUUAUAUUGUAUAUGUAGUAGCAGAAUAGUGACGUAUGUUUUGUACGGUAUAUUGGACCGUGAAUAUAAUAUUUUAUAUUUUGAUGUUGUGUGAGACGACACCGUAGGGUGAAUUAAGUUUUGUAACAGAAGAUAUAAACCAAGAGAAAGGUCGUUGUUGAGCGAUUAUACAGUACGAAGCAUUUUCAUUUUUAUCAUGUACUGUGAAGAGUUCUUUUCCGUCGAGCCUCAGUAAGCGUCAAUAUCAUUUAGCUUGUUUAUGUACGAUUGGUACAACUAGCUGGCCGACAAGGUCGAUGGGAGUUUGAACGGCUAAACGAUGAUUAACUCUGAAUCGGAAUCUGAAAUUUUCGCUUGGUACAUGUUACAUUGUGUUUUGGCAAAGUAGUUCCAAAGGGCAGAACUCUUGAUCAGUGAUUGUUUCUCCCAAGGAAAGUUCGACCAUGGAAAGACUGCAGUUUUGCGGAUGUGCAUGCCUGGCUUUCCCGCUGAGCGAGUCACGCGGUCGCUCAAAUGCGGCUUCACUUACGGGGUCGUCUCAAAUUUUCGAAUGGUCAUUUAUCUAUUCCAAUUCGGCCAAUUUUCUAACCGUUUACGGGUCCCCCCUUUUCGACACUACUUCUGAUAUAUAUAUGUCACUUUACCUGAAUAAAGAAAAUGUACUUUUCA